rnacentral:misc_RNA from 1 species
GAUGAAGAACGUAGCGAAAUGCGAUACGUAAUGUGAAUUGCAGAAUUCAGUGAAUCAUCGAAUCUUUGAACGCAUAUUGCGCUCUCUGGUAUUCCGGAGAGCAUGCUUGUUUGAGUAUCAGUAAACACCUCAACUCCCUUUUCUUUUUUGAAAUGGGAGCUGGACUUGAGUGAUCCCAACACUUUUCUCACUGGAAAGUGGCGGGUCACUUGAAAUGCAGGUGCAGCUGGACUUUUCUCUGAGCUAUAAGCAUAGCUAUUUAGUCUGCCUAAAAAACAGAUUAUUACCUUUGCUGCAGCUAACAUAAAGGAGAUGAGUUCUUGUGCUGACUGAUGCAGGAUUCACAGAGACAGCUUUGCGGCUGACUUUGUAAACUCGAUCUCAAAUCAAGUAAGACUACCCGCUGAACUUAAGCAUAUCAAUAAGCGGAGGA